rnacentral:lncRNA from 1 species
AAAUGCAAAUGGAGUGGGAGUGGUGGUGGCCGUGAUGGAGCGUACUGUGUGGGUGUAGGGGGAUUUGGGGAGAGGGUGUCGUGGGCAGUAAGUUUAAACAAAUUCAAGGCCAUUACUACCACUGCAGACCAAAAUAACUUAGGUCUGAGAGACCCCCUUAGAAAGAUACAAUGCCUUCCUCAUCUAAAGGGAGCUAAUACCAGAGUGAUCUCGGCGCUCGCGCAGUUUUGAGAGAGGGUCCCGAAAACCGCCGGAGGCCAGGUGUCGCGGACGGGCCCCGGGCUAAACUCUCGUCUGGCGAAGUGAAGAGCGCAAAGUCUCCAGGCCCAGCGCGCCUUCGCGGGGCAGGCCGGACACCCUAGCCCCGGGCCGGGCUCGCUCUUCUCUGAAGCCCUGGAGCGGGCAAGGGGCACCAUUCUGGCCACAGGAACUCUAGUUUCAGCAGCCGCAGCCCGCCAGCGCUGGCUCGGACCGGGGCCUCCUCUGGGAGAGUAGGAGAGCGAAAAAAUCAACCACCACCUUGGAUUUCAGAUCGAGGAAAGGAAGCCAAAGCAAAGGUGUGGUUACACAGGACAUCCAUAGACAAAUCGUUGCCUCUCUAAGUGGGCCUGAGCUUUGCGGCUCCAGAAGCGCGAGGCGCGGUUGGUGCGGACGCGGGGGCGUGGGAGUCAUCGCUCUCCCCGCAGCCCUGGCCGAGCUCUCUGCUGUCCUCCCGAGUUUGGGCCAGAGACCACGGCUCACUCCCUAACGCCCUCGCAAGGACGGCUGCCCGUCGGGCCAAGGGCGCCCCGGGCUGGAGGCCGGAGCAAGACGGCCCCGCGGGACUCGGGAGCCUUGGUAAGGCGGAGGCUCAGACCCCGUUCACGAAAACGCCUGGCUCCUCCAGGAUUUGUCAGGUCUUAAGCAGCUCCGAGAAGGCUCCGCUGGCUCUUGGGGAACCCCGCUGUGCGGCUCACCCCCGUUUGUCUCUCUCAAGCUCUCGCCCUCCUCCCCUGGUCCUCCCUUCUCCAGAUCCCCUGCCCUGCCCGAGGUCCGGGCCGCGCGGGCUGAGCCCAAUACGCCCGGAGAAGAGCGCCGGAGCCCCCUGCUGGCCGGACGCGGCAGGCGCGGCGGCCCGCUCGGUCCCCUCCGCCCCGCGGGCUCUGCCCAGCCCGGACCCGCCUCCACCCUCCAGUGCCCUGGCGCUGGGGGCGUGCUAAAAGCAACAGAAAACAAAACAAAAACAAACAAAGCGCCAAACCCCACUCUCACCUCUUCUACUGGUCAAAGGUGGUUUCCCUGCACAAGCCCUCUUCUUUUGUGUGGCACCAUGUGAGAUGUGCCUUUCACCUUCCACCAUGAUUGUCAGACCUCCCCAGCCACAUGGAACCAGACUCCUCAGAGGCCAAAAAUGAUUCCCCGACUGGCCUAAGCAAAACCAUAAUGGAAGUUAAGCUGUUGGCACAGAGAAGCAAACAAGCAGCAGGAAUCUAGAUGUUCAUCUUUUCCUUUGUGAAGUCCAUACUGUGUGCAAGAUCCAUGGUUAAGAUGAUAGAGGGAGUGGGCUUAGGUCUCAUCCUAUGAGCUUGUGCUGAUUUGCUGAUUUACAUAUCUCCACUGGCGAAAAUCAUAUCUGUUCCUUAGGUCCAAUUUUCAAGUUCCAAGCAUUGGCAGUGUGACCACAAAUAUCUAUGAUCUGAUGCUUUAUUUGAUUUUUGUGUGUUUGUUUUAAUGGAAGUGUAGAAAGGGAGGGAAGAAGGGAGGGGAAUAUUUGAUUUGCUGUCUAGCCAACACAAUUCUAAAAAGCAUUAAGUGGAAACUGCUACAAGUGUUUAUUUUCUAACUCUUUCUGGUAUAAUGGGAACAGUCAAGAUCUGAACAAGAGUCGAUAUAAGGUUUGCGGUUUAUGAUAAGCAUAUCAGCCAGUGGAUAGACUAAACCCCAGUGACAGCUGUGAUGGUUCUUGGAAUCAGACAUCCUUCAAUAACAUGUUUCCCCAAAGCUUAUAGACAUUGUUGUAGAAUAGGGUCAAGGCUUAUGGCAGAUGUUGAAUGUCUCUGAGCUAUAUGAAAUUUCUCUCUGUGGAUUCGUGCCUAACAACCAUUACAUCAAACCACAGGUACAAUGAAGCCCAUUUUCCUUUUUGACGUGAUACUGUUGUUAUUUUAGAGGCAAAGCCUUAUGCUAUUGCUAGCUGAAAAAGACACUAAAAGCCAAAAGAGUGCAGGCACAGAAUUGGGAACAAUUGGGCUAUAGUGACCAUGAAAACAUAAAGCAAUGAUUUUACCCAGCACAAACCAUGUAGGUCAUUACAGUAUGGUGUCUUGGAACAAGGACACCUAAAAUAACAAUGAUCAUUGCUUAAAAAAAUUAAUUUUGUGGAAAUUCUUAUAAUGUUAACAUACUUCAUAGAUAUGAUUCUACCCAACUGUGACCUUUGUUAUGAUAGCAAAUGAUCAUUUUUUUCAUAGAAAAAGAAAACUCGACUGCUUAAUUGAUUGAUUCAUUAAAAGAAAUCUUGUAAUUGAACUAUCAUGCCAAGUUUACUAUGAGCAUCUGAUAAAAGAAAGUAAGAUGAUAAACAGCAACGGGUCAGAUGGCUUCCAAAUAUCAGUGAACGUCCAUAAUACCUAUUGAACUACUUGUAAUUCAUCAAUAAAUACUGGAUGGAUAGAAAUACCCUUGGUAAUGUGGAUAAAGUUAAAGGAAGUAAAAGUAAAAUUUCUGUACUCACUAGGCAUUCUUGGAAAAACUAAAUUUAUUUUAAGAAUAGUAACAGGAAAAUUGUAAGAAAAUACUAAGAAACAAAAAUUACAGGGCUGACUCAAAUUAUUAAUAAUGUUAAUAUAUAAAGCUGCCAUCUUAAUAGUUUAUAAAAAUGUUAUAUGUUAUCUCAUUUUAUAAGCACAAUAAUAAAAUGACUUGCCUCUCAUCAAUAUCAUACUCCUAUCAGAUCCUGGGUGAUAAUCCUAUCUUCCCGCCACCAGAGUACUCUUCUUUCCACACUUUUCUAUCAGUGAGCGACAGAAAAAAUUUAGAAAAGUUCAGUAGAAAAAUACACCUGAAAUUUGAUUACAGGAUGUAAAUGCCUUUGACCCUGAAUAUCAGAUAUGAUUUGCUCUCCAGGAUUUGUUGACCUUUGGUGGAAAAUAAUCUACCAGACCUUGUGAAGAACCAGGAGAAGGGUAACAGACAUCUAGCUGCUUGAUUCUAGUUCCAUUAAAGACUACUUCAAGGAGGAAGAAGAGUUUUCCUGAAAAUUGGCCAGAGGCCCCAGUUCACAGAAGUCCCUUUGCAGGUUGGCCUCUUUGUCUCCUACAUGGAAGGAAACUAUCAUCAUGUGUCCUCAAACCCCUGCAAUCCUGUCACUUUGCAAGAUGUAUCUAGCAGUUACCAAAAAAAAAAAAAAUGAAAUGGAUAUUCUACAAACUGCUAGAGAACAGAUGUCUUGAAUAGGCAAGACAAUACUCACAUGAUAUAUGGUUUACUUUUUCCUGAUGCGUUGUUUUGUUUUUGGUUCAGCGAAUAAAACAUACAUUCUCCUACGCGCAUUCUCAAGGACCAGAAGCAUUAUUUUAAAAAGUUCCUCCCAGGCUGGGCACAGUGGCUCACACCUGUAACCCCAGUACGUUGGGAGGCCAAGGCAGGUGGAUCACUUGAAGUCAGGAGUUCGAGACCAGCCUGACCAACAUGGUGAAACCCCGUCUCUACUAAAAAUACAAAAAUUAGCUGGGCAUGGUGGCACACACUUGUAAUCCCAGCUGCUUACGAGACUGAGGCAGGAGAAUCCCUUGAACCCAGGAGGUGGAGUUUGCGGUGAGCUGGGAUUGCGCCACUGCACUGCAGCCUGGGAGACAGAGCAAGACUCUGUCUAAAAUUAAUAAAUAAAUUAAUUAAUAAUCUAUUUUCAAGCAGAAAGGAAUAUCCAGUUUUUAAAACAUAUUCUGCAAUGUUAUUUGUCACAAAAAUAUUUAUAUAAUAGUGUACAUUUUUAUUUUUCUUUGUACUUAAUUUUUCUAAGUAUCAUUCUAAAUAUGGGAAUAAAUCAUUGCAAAGCAUUACAUUUGAAUAGUUUAGCAACAUUAGCCAGUAAUCUCAAAAUAUUGUUUAACUUCGACUUUUUUGUGACCAUUUAAAAAAGAAGUAUGCGUUUAAGUUACUACAUGAUGUACUCUAUGCCUGCUGUAAUCCUAUUAACAAAGUUUUUAAUUCUAGAAAAUAAUAGAAAGCCUAACAUUUUACUUCCUUUUAAAAAAACAUAAUAUUACAUAUAUAAAACUUUAUCAGAGUUAAUAUGAUAAGCUAAGCAGAAAAGUUUAAUAUUAUUUAUGGUUUCAUGAUGUGUAACAUGGUAAUUUGGGCCUUACCUAGUAAUAAACCUAGUUCAAAUCCAAGUUUUUUCUUGUUUUUGCUUCCCCCUUGCCUCCCAGUAACAUAACAGAACUCCUUUAAAGAUGUGAAACAGAUUUUAUACCUUCUUCCCAGUGCUGAUAUUUCAGGAAAAAAUCUCUCACCAUUUAGACAAUGAGUAUGCAAAAUGGGAAGUGGAAACUCAACACACAUUUCAUUAAUUCGAUCUAAGUAAAUAUCCUAGAGAUAACUCAGUCUGAAAUAGCCACACAAUUUCCAGCAAUGUUGUGUUUCUUAAUAAAUAUAAAGUGCAAUGUUAAAGUCACUUACCUUCUCUAUUGCAGGAAUGAAAUUAUUUGGGUUGGUUAUCUACAUGGAUCAGAGUGCCAAGUCUCCCUUCACUUUGUAAUGCAUAGACCUAGCCUUUGUUCUGUGCCCCU